rnacentral:rRNA from 1 species
UACGUAGGGCGCAAGCGUUGUCCGGAAUUAUUGGGCGUAAAGAGCUCGUAGGUGGCGUGUCGCGUCUGCCGUGAAAGCCCAUGGCUUAACUGUGGGUCUGCGGUGGAUACGGGCAGGCUAGAGGCUGGUAGGGGCAAGCGGAAUUCCUGGUGUAGCGGUGAAAUGCGUAGAUAUCAAGAGGAACACCUGAGGUGAAGACGGGUUGCUGGGCCAACACUGACGCUGAUGCGCGAAAGCCAGGGGAGCAAACGGG